rnacentral:tRNA from 1 species
GGGGAUGUAGUUCAGUGGUAGAAUGCUUGCCUAACAUGCAUAAGGCCCUGGGCUCAAUCCCCAGAACCACCA